rnacentral:lncRNA from 11 species
GAGUUCUAAAACUGUCCUAAAACAACCCCCACCCACAGUUUCCAAGACAUUUCCAGAUAAGUGGAAAGCUGCAAAAAGAAUCACAAAGAAGUCUGUUUCAUCACUGACACUGAAUUGUUGCUGCUGAUUCUUCCAAAAGGCUACAGAAUAUCCAUUCACCAGUGGUAGGCAGUGCCUUUCAUUUCAAGGUGCUACAAAGUGAAAGAAGAGACAGGAAAUUAUUGUUGUGCUUUGAGGUUCAUCACUUGCAAGAACAAAAGCAGCAACACUUAAACAACAGCUAUUAUACAAGAAUUAUUAUAAGUUUCACAUUCGAUCAAGUUUCAACAACUGGAGUUCUGGAUUCAAUCAAGUUUCAACAACUGGAGUUCUGGAUUCGAUCCAAGAAUGUAGGAAUAAAUUAUAUAUUUUUCGAUAAUCUAACAUGUUCCAAGCAGGUGUCACUUUUCGCCAUGUGCUGUUGUGAUCCUAUCUAUAGCUAUUUCAUUCAGAUAUUUUGUCAGUUUAAUUGGAAUUGAGCAUCUAUCACUAUGGAAUCAACAGGUGUUGAUGUUAUUACCACCUUCCAUUCCCUGCCUAUGUCCAAACUGGGACUUAUGUUGGAUUACAGAAAUUCAAACAAAUGUAGAUAGGACGUGCAAACACAUAAGUAAAAUCAUACAAAAAUAAUUAAUAUCGCAUUAAUAUCUCAUGAUCAUGAGAUAAUGAGAUGGUGGAUUAACAAUGUAGAAUUCAUAGCUGCACUUGUUUCACAAUGGGUAGAGAUGACAUUUUCAGUGCUUUACCAGCUAAACAGUUACCUGCAUUUGCUAAAUUAGCAUAUCUGUUCUUAGAAAAACAAAAAAUUCUGACUAGAUUACUACACACAGUUAAUUUUGAGGAACAGCUCAUGGUCUACUUUAUUCUUAUAUCAUAUUAGUAGUUACUCAGUAUAUUUUUACUGCACAUGUUAUAAUAAACUCAAGCAUUUUGUUGGCUGUAAUUUUACUAUGUAUUAGAUUGAUAAUGUUCUUAAUGAUACCAAUUUUCAUUGACACUGACUAUGGGAUUAAAUUAAUUAUGACUGCUUAAGUUACCAUAUUCAGGCACUUGAACAGAGCUUUGUUGAUUGGGUUUAACCCUGCUCUGAAGCCUUUCAUGCUUCAUUCCAUUCCUACAAGUGGGAAAAUUAUUUUUGAGGAAAGAAGUAUGGGACAGGAUCACCGAGGAUCACAGAGGAUCACAUUUUCUGUAGAAAAUUGGAACUGAGUCUCUCGUUUCCUGAAAAUUACAUGCAGGAAAUCAUGGGGUUUGUGCAAUCCACAUUAUUCCCUUGUGAUAAAAAUAUAGAAUGCACCACCUAUCCAUGGAAGGGUAGUGUAAUCCCUGGUUACCCUUUUUGGGAGUGACUGUGAAGAGGACAAUGCUUGGAAAGUUACUUCCAAAUGUGUCAGUUAACGUAUUGAUGCAUGUCCUCAAAGCUGCAGCUGCUGCUGCGUGCUUUGAGGUCAUUUCUGAUUUAUGAUGACCCUAAAAUGAACCUGUCCAGGAGGGGAUUUUUGUAUCGUUGGUUUGGGGAGAGAGGGGGGGUUGCCA